CUUCUAUAGAAUGUUGUCUCAGAUUUACCGUUAUAAAUUAAAGUUUAGAUACUUUAUUGUUACAUGUCCUAAGUUGAGGUACCGUCCAUAUAAUUUAUCCUAAAGAUGAGGAGUUCAACUUGUUUAGCCAAAGAGGAAAACUGUACACGCAACAAAUGGUUACAACAUAAAACAUUAUAUCAUGAAUUGCUUCAUUUUCUGUA
rnacentral:misc_RNA from 1 species